rnacentral:rRNA from 1 species
UACGAGGGGGGCAAAUGUUGUUCGGAAUCACUGGGCGUAAAGGGAGCGUAGGCGGGUUCUUAAGUAAGGUGUUUAAUCCCGGGGCCCAACCCCGGACCGGUACUUUAAACUGGGAAUCUUGAAUAGUGGAGAGGUCGGUGGAAUUGGGGGUGUAGCGGUGGAAUGCGUAGAGAUCCCCAAGAACACCAGUUGCGAAGGCGGCCGACUGGACACAUAUUGACGCUGAGGCUCGAAAGCAUGGGGAGCAAACAGG